UACGUAGGGGGCGAGCGUUGUCCGGAGUUACUGGGCGUAAAGGGCGCGUAGGCGGAUACUUAAGUUGGGGGUGAAAGCCCGGGGCUCAACCUCGGAAUUGCCUUCAAUACUGGGUAUCUUGAGUUCGGGAGAGGUGAGUGGAACUCCGAGUGUAGAGGUGAAAUUCGUAGAUAUUCGGAAGAACACCAGUGGCGAAGGCGGCUCACUGGCCCGGAACUGACGCUGAGGUGCGAAAGCGUGGGGAGCAAACAGG
rnacentral:rRNA from 1 species